CAGGAAGUACCUCCCUCUCUCGGGGAAGCUAGGAGCACUGCAGGAGAACUAUGAACCUUCCCCCUGAUACGAAAAACUUGAGAUAUGAAAACUUCAAGAAACAAAGUCAGCUGAAAUUUGUCAGUAUUGCUGUAAGGGUGAGGCAAGUAAGCAAGACAGCUUACCUCUAAAGUAAACAGUGUAGUCCACAUCAGAGUUUGAAUGUCAGUCUUCGGGUGACAUGAUCCGGAACUGAGAAGCUCAGAACCAAGAUGUUCCAAUUUUGUGGAGUACAGAUUUUGAAGUAUGACCUGUUGAUUCCCUGAAUUGCUUCAUUGUCGGGAACCACGAUCACAUCUAACAGUGACUGUGAAGAAUCCAAAAAGGAUCCCCUAAAGAUGGUUUUGCCUCCAGACAGCAGGAAGUAAUUUUAAGAACAUGAUGCCCACAUUCCCAAGAGAGGCCAACUUGCUAAGAACUUUGUCACAUGUUACUCCAGCAUGAUGACUCAUGACUGGCUUCAAUCAGACCCUCAGGAAGUAUGUCCAGUCUGGCAGCCAAUCAGGGUCCUACCUGGCAGCAAGCAGGAAAUGUUCUUGCUAUUUUCAGUCAAAUAGACCCCUGACACAGCAAACAGACCCCUGACACUGCAACCAUAGUUGCUGACUAGAUGUCAUGAGCCAAUAAUAAAAUGAUUCUUGUUUCAGUAAAGGUCUAUGACUAAUCACUUCAAAGCACACUUAACCACAGCUAGAAUUUCCCUAGCCAUGCU